UCCCUGGUGGCUCAGCUGGUAGAGAAUCUGCCUGCAAUGCGGGAGACCUGGGUUCGAUCCCUGGGUUGGGAA
rnacentral:tRNA from 1 species